rnacentral:rRNA from 1 species
CCUACGGGAGGCAGCAGUAGGGAAUCUUCGGCAAUGGGGGCAACCCUGACCGAGCAACGCCGCGUGCGUGAAGACGGUUUUCGGAUUGUAAAGCUCUGUUGUAAGAGAAGAACGUGUGUGAGAGUGGAACGUUCACACUGUGACGGUAACUUACCAGCAAGGGACGGCUAACUACGUGCCAGCAGCCGCGGUAAUACGUAGGUCCCGAGCGUUAUCCGGAUUUAUUGGGCGUAAGGCCAGCGCAGGCGGUUGGUUAAGUCUGAAGGUAAAGGCUGUGGCUCAACCAUAGUAUGCUUUGGAAACUGUUCAACUUGAGUGCAGAAGGGGAGAGUGGAAUUCCAUGUGUAGCGGUGGAAUGCGUAGAUAUAUGGAGGAACACCGGUGGCGAAGGCAGCUCUCUGGUCUGUAACUGACGCUGAGGCUCGAAAGCGUGGGUAGCGAACAGGAUUAGAUACCCGAGUAGUC